rnacentral:rRNA from 1 species
GUAGGGUGCAAGCGUUAAUCGGAAUUACUGGGCGUAAAGCGUGCGCAGGCGGAUGCAUAAGUCAGACGUGAAAGCCCCGGGCUUAACCUGGGAACGGCGCUUGAAACUGUGCGUCUAGAGUGCGUCAGAGGGGGGUGGAAUUCCACGUGUAGCAGUGAAAUGCGUAGAGAUGUGGAGGAACACCGAUGGCGAAGGCAGCCCCCUGGGAUGACACUGACGCUCAUGCACGAAAGCGUGGGGAGCAAACAGGAUUAGAUACCCUGGUAGUCCACGCCCUAAACGAUGUCAACUGGUUGUUGGGGAUUUCGGUCCUUAGUAACGAAGUAACGCGUGAAGUUGACCGCCUGGGGAGUACGGCCGCAAGGUUA